rnacentral:rRNA from 1 species
GAUGAACGCUGGCGGCGUGCCUAAUACAUGCAAGUCGAGCGAACAGACGAGGAGCUUGCUCCUCUGACGUUAGCGGCGGACGGGUGAGUAACACGUGGAUAACCUACCUAUAAGACUGGGAUAACUUCGGGAAACCGGAGCUAAUACCGGAUAAUAUAUUGAACCGCAUGGUUCAAUAGUGAAAGACGGUUUUGCUGUCACUUAUAGAUGGAUCCGCGCCGCAUUAGCUAGUUGGUAAGGUAACGGCUUACCAAGGCAACGAUGCGUAGCCGACCUGAGAGGGUGACCGGCCAGACUGGAACUGUGACACGGUCCAGAAUCCUACGGGAAGCAGCAGUAGGGAAUCCUCCGCAAUGGGCGAAAGCUUGACGGAGCAACGCCGCGUGAGGGAUGAAGGUCUCAGGAUCGUAAAACUCUGUUAUUAGGGAAGAACAAAUGUGUAAGUAACUAGGCACGUCUUGACGGUACCUAAUCAGAAAGCAACGGCUAACUACGUG